rnacentral:rRNA from 1 species
CCUACGGGAGGCAGCAGUGAGGAAUAUUGGUCAAUGGACGAGAGUCUGAACCAGCCAAGCCGCGUGAAGGAUGACUGCCCUAUGGUUUGUAACCUUCUUUUAUAUGGGAAUAAAGUGUUCCACGCGUCGCCUUUUGUAUGUACCAUAUGAAUAAGCAUCGGCUAACUCCGUGCCAGCAGCCGCGGUAAUACGGAGGAUCCGAGCGUUAUCCGGAUUUAUUGGGUUUAAAGGGAGCGUAGGUGGAUUGUUAAGUCAGUUGUGAAAGCUUGCGGCUCAACCGUGAAACUGCAGUUGAAACUGGCAGUCUUGAGUACAGGAGAGGUGGGCGGAAUUCGUGGUGUAGCGGUGAAAUGCUUAGAUAUCACGAAGAACUCCGAUGGCGAAGGCAGCUCACUGGACUGCAACUGACACUGAGGCUCGAAAGUGUGGGUAUCAAACAGGAUUAGAUACCCGAGUAGUC